rnacentral:lncRNA from 8 species
AGCUCCUUCCUCUUCACUGAGCAGGGCGUGAGGAAGAUGAGUAGUGGUGAAGCUCCUCCCACCAUCACCAUGGCUCUGAUCAACCCCCAGUCCGCCUCCGUCUCCUCGGACACCAAACAGUCCUCCACUCAGCAGCUCUCCAUCAGUGUGUGAGUAACAUGGUAGUAACAUAGUAAUAGCUUUGUAGUAACAUAUGAGUAACAGCCUCCGCUGACACCAAUGUGUGCUCUACACAGCAGAGAAACAUUGGAGUAACGUAGUAGUAACGUAGUAGUAACUCAGGAGUAAUACAGUAGUAACAUGGUAGUAACAACCUCCGCUGACACCAAGCAGUCCGCCACCUAGGAACUCCAUCAGCGUUGUGAGUAACACUGGAGUAACACUGCAGUAACAUCAGCCGAUGUCACAAAGUGCUGUACAGAAACCCAGCCUAAAACCCCAAACAGCAACCAGUGCAGAUGUAGAAGCACGUGAUGAUAUAGAAUUUGUCAUCUUUGUGAGAUUGUGGUAACAUGUAAUCUGUUGUUCAGGUGUGCUGCUCUGUACUCCUACAAGCCCUGUCGUUCUGAGGAACUGGAGCUGAGGAAGGGGGAGAUGGUAGGGGUGUAUGGGAAGUUUAAGGAGGGCUGGCUCCGAGGCCUCUCUCUACGGACGGGCAAAGUGGGCAUCCUGCCCGGCAACUACGUCACACCUGUCCUCAGGUAAGUGGGAGAGCUAUUUCUACCGGUUUCAUUAGGCGGACCGUGAGAAACAAGUGACAAUUGUUUUUGGGGUUAUAAUGUUGUGUUUUUAUAUAAUCAUUGAGAGGAUCAGCCUUACUGUUAGACGAUGUAUGUGUCAUCAUUGACCACUUUCCUACAGUGGUUCCAUCUUUUUGUCUUUCAUUUGUGUCAUGGACACCUCAUUUAUUGAUUUUGACAGCAAUAUCUAUCUAUUUCCUGUCUGCCACAGAACCUCUGCCAGGCUCUUGGAGUCCAAGGCAGUGACGGCAGGCCCUGGUACAGUCCCUGGAAGAAGAACCUCCUCGUCCUCCAAAACGCCAGCGGUGGUUCUAGCUCUCCACAGGGUCAACUCAGAUGAAACUAGUUACUCUACUGGACAACGGGUUCCGCAGCAGUCCACCUCCGUGGCCACGCAGCUUGUGACGUCAUCAGGCGGCGCCACCAGAAAGUCCCGGCACGGGGUGGGCUCGGAGGGAUGGGACACAGUGAGGAGAGUCUUCCAUCGUUCACACAGAGGCUCAUCUCAGCGGGGAAACCACUACGCCCACACCACCAUCUCUUCCAGCUCAGCCCUUCAAUCCCAGACCCAGACCCACAGUCAGAGCUCAUCCCAGAACUCAUCCCAGCGCUGUAACCACUACCCCCACACUACCAGCGCCACCUCAGGCCUUCAACCCCAUUCUCAGUCCCAUUCUCACAGCCAGAACUUUAGCCAUAUUCAGGCCCCUGGCUACUCCCCUGCUCUGCUCAGGAAGAAACAACACAUGAGCAUCCUGCCCAAUCACAACAGAUCUCUGGCUUGGAUGUCUGAGGGACCCGCGCCCUCUAGUGGUGGUUUUAUGAAGGACAGGGACACUGCUGCUAGAGAGACGUUUGAUAGGCAGGUGUUGGAGACAAGGCAAGCAGCAUCGAAUGGUCAGCAGUCCAUCAACUCCAUCCUCGUGAAACCAGACGCCCUCAAGAACAACACAGAGAAGCCCACCAAGUCAGUGCGGUUCCUGACCCAGCCUGAUUCCCCUCCACCACGGCCCAGGACCACCUCCCUGCCCUCGGGUAGCCAGCCUCCCUCCAGUGCUCACCCUGGUCCCCCUCCCCUGGAGGUCUGGGCUCCAUCACUCACACUGGGGCGAGAUGGGCCUGGGAUCAUACUGAAAGAAGGCAAGGCUCCUGUUCUUAGGAAAGGUCUGGAGACAAACCCCUCAGAUGUUCUGACUUCCAAUCAGAAACCAGCACCAUCAGCGUCAAUACUGUCCAGCAGCCCUAGCAGACACAGAGUAGGGACGUCAUACCAGGCCCAGACGGAGUCAGAGAUGAGCCUGAUGCAGGGUGAGCCUGUCCUGCUCCACAGACAUCGGCCCGACGGACGGGUUCUGCUCACCCAGGAGAGCAGUGGCCACACGGGCCUCUUCCAUAGCAGUGUUCUACAGUUCUUAGACCGGUUCAGUUGACUGCCUGUAGUGUUUAGUUGUUAUUAUUAUAUGUGUGUUUUUCACAUAUAAAUAGAAUGACUAGCAUGGGAAAGCUCCCUAGACCGCGACAAUUUGAUAGUACACUCAAUAUGGCCGCUGGCCCACCCAGGUACAAUCAAUUUGGCCGCCAGCCUACCCCAUCAUGUAAUGUUGACUUGAAAACCAAUGUCCAUUCUAGCUAUUCUAUUUCUAUGGAUCUCCAUGUGUUGACACUGCCAAAUGAGAUGCCCAAACUGUGGAAGUGUGUGUGUGUGUGUGUUUUAUCUGUGUGUUGAAAAUAAUAUAUUAUACUGCCAUAUAAUGACUAUAUAUAAAGUAUGUGGACACCCCUUCACAUUUUGUGGAUUUGGCUGUUUCAGCCACACCUGUUGGUGACCGGUGUAUAAAAUUGAGCACACAGCCAUGCAAUCUCCAUAGACACAAAUUGGCAGUAGAAUAGCCUUACUGAAGAGCUCAGUGAAAUGUAUAUUUGGUACAUGGAUGCCACCUUUCCAACAAGUCAGUUUGUCAAAUUUCUGCCCUGCUAGAGCUUCCCCGGUCGACUGUAAGUGCUGUUAUUGUGAAGUGGAAAUGUCUAGGAGCAACAACGGCUCAGCCGCAAAGUGGUAGGCCACAGAAGUUCACAGAACGGGACCGCUGAGUGCUGAAGCGUGUAAAAAUUGUCUGUCCUCGGUUACAACACUCUCUACCGAGUUCCAAACUGCCUCUGGAAGCAACGUCAGCACAAUAACUGUUCGUCUAUAGCUUCAUGAAAUGGGUUUGGGAUAAAUUGGAACGCCGACUGCGCGCCAGGCUUGAUCGCCCAACAUCAGUGCCCGACCUCACUAAUGCUCUUGUUACUGAAUGGAAGCAAGUCCCCGCAGCAAUGUUCCAACAUCUAAUGGAAAGUCUUCCUAUAAGAGUGGAGGUUGUUAUAGCAGCAAAGUGGGGACCAACUCCAUAUUAAUGCCCAUGAUUUUGGAAUGAGGUGUCCACAUACUCUUGGUCAUGUAGUGUAUUUUUUUCUUUUUGAGGUUCUUUGGACCCGUUUUAAACUAGAUAAAUAACUAUGAGGUUCAGAGAUAUAUUUGUGUAUAUUUUGAUGUGCAGAAGCAUGAGAGUUGCAUAGACCUACUGUAUACAUUUAUUAUUACCAAUCCCAGUUGCACAAACCCACCUCAGACCAAUGUUUUGCUUAAAGAAUUAGUCUUCUCUUUAUUCAAGAGCUAUUAGACACACUAGUCAGUGCCUUUGCAAAGCCCACAAAGUAUAGAUUUGAAAAACAAUAACAGCCCUCUUACCAGAGGCAAAAUGUAUGCAAAAGUGAGGAUCGUAUAGUGGUAAUAAACAAUGCUUCCGUCAACUACAGCAUGCGUUUGUUACAUUCUCAACCUGAUUUUGCUAAAUAACUGCACACCUAUGGUAUGUGUCCUGUCCUGCACUUUGACGACUUCAGAAAACAUGCACAGGUGUCCUCUAACAAUAUCUACUUCUCUGCUCUUUACUUUGUGAGUGCUGAAAAUAAAUAAUGUAUGAUACAUUGUAGCUAAAAGACUCAUUUUAUUGGCUGUUGCAUGGAUCAUGAUCCCCUAUUCUGUUUUCCAUCUUACUCUAUAUCAUCCCGUUUUACAACAAACAUUAUUGUUGUUCAUUAAAGCAAACAUAGUGAGAUAGUCCUUUUACCUCCACCUAUGGCGAUGCCAUCUCUAAUGUACUUUACUGUCCACUACACCCCCUCCACCAUUCUACUGCGCGGCCGCAGAUCCACUUCGUUCAGACUUGACAAUUUUAUCUGCAUCGGAGGAAAUGGGCCACUGAUGGAAUAGGCACUGCGUUGGCAUCAAAAUCAUUUUUGUAAGAUAAACACUACCAUCAAAGCAUCCAAAAGUGUUUGCUAUUGUCUCAUGUAAUUUUAAA